GAUUUCUGGUUUAAUGCACCUGGCCCGCGGCCUCUAGGCUUGUGAGUGCCGGCGCGCGUUUACCAUCCUUCUAGAAAACAAUUCUGCCAUUCACUUGGUUGGGAUUGCGAUCUAGAUCAUUUACUUUGAAAAAAUUAGAGUGUAAAAGUUGGGGGUGCUAGUAUUGGCCGGCCAGAGGUGAAAUUCUUGGAUUCGGUCAAGACUAACUUAUGCGAAAGCAUUCACCAAGGAUGUCUUCUUCUGUCUCUUAUA
rnacentral:rRNA from 1 species